UCAUGGCAGUACUUUCUCCUAACAGAGCUCGACAAUGUCUUCGCCUAUGCACACAUUUGGUUUUCUGUACAUCUGGUUUUCAUGUCAAGUGAGCGCUGUUACAUUUGAGCAAUCUUCUCCUCAGAUAGUGAAGGAGAGCAGUGAGGUCCAGAUUAACUGCAGUCAUGAUGAUACGUCCCUCGUAAUGAUGCUCUGGUAUCAGCAAAGAAAGGACAGCCUGUCUAUGACCCUCAUCGGGUAUGGAUAUGAAAGCUCCCCGAACUAUGAGGGUCAGUUUGAAGAACAAUUCAAGCUGAUAAGACAAAGCACAGCAAGAGGAACGCUGAUUAUUCACAGUGCAAACCCGUCACACUCGGCUGUUUAUUUCUGCGCUGCUAUGGACAAGUACGAAGCUUAUUUCGGCCAAGGCACAAAACUGACAGUUCUCGAACCAGGGCUUUCUGUCACUGAACCAACAGUGAAAGUGCUUCCACCUUCGCCAAAGGAAUGCCGGAACCAAAAAGACAAUAAAAGGAAGAAGACCUUAGUUUGUGUGGCCAGUGGAUUCUACCCAGACCAUGUCAGCGUAUUCUGGACGAUUGACAGGGACAAUGUCACUGAAGGUGUGGCAACGGACAACGCUGCUGUGCGGGUUGGCAACUCUUACAAAAUCACCAGCAGGUUGAGGGUCUCAGCACAGACCUGGCACACACCGGGAAGGGAUUUCAGAUGCAUUGUCAGUUUCUACAAUGGAACACAUACCAUCUAUCCUGAAGCCUCAGUUAGUGGUGUGGCAGGUACCAGUAAGGGCAUGAACAGAGAGAGAUAUUUGAGGAUCUCACAGACUGCCAAACUCUCCUAUGGUGUUUUCAUCGUCAAGAGCAGCGUCUAUGGAGCCUUUGUUGCUUUUCUGGUGUGGAAGCUUCAGGGUUCAACUGGAAAGCAAAACAACUGAGAGCUGAGGGAGGCCAGAUGAUCUUUGGCGAUGGAUUAUCUUUUCUGUCAAUACAAUUUGUAGAACAUAGUGGUUUUAUAUUUCCACUACUUUGUAUAUCACAGUACAUUUGCUUUCAUGUAUAAAUGAGCCAAUACAAUUCUGCGAACGUUAGAGGAAAAGUUCAUAUUCUUAUUACAAUAUUAAAAGCUACAAGUGGCAUGAAAGUGAGUUUGGUGUAAUGUUCUUUCACCACAUCCAUGUGUUUGUAGUUGUGAACCAUUUGAUGCUUAAUUUUCUUUUCAAUAAAGUAUAUCAGAGGA